GAUUAUACAAUAUACAGCUAAAGUGGAAAAAAAAAACCUUUCGUAUCAUCACAUCUCAACUGCGAACACGCUUCGUGGUUUAUCGAACUGUAGACUGCAGAAUCGAAAUUUGACCGUCUACAUUUCUUAAACAUUUCAUCUUAUCAUGAAGCUACUCAUCUUCUUCACCCUAUUGACUGUUGUGUCGUCAAGGUUCAUGUAUAAGGAAGCCGUCGACAAAAAAUAUGACUGCUCUCCCCUGUUUUGUGAGGGAAAAGUUAAAUGCUGUGAAGGCUACAGAUGUGGAGAAGGCAAUCUGGCCAAUGUCUGCAUCCCAAAUCAUGUAACUAUUCAAACUCCAGAUAAAUAGGCUGAUUGAUUAGAACUUCAGUGCCAAAUAAACAAAAAACGUGUUACCUUUUAACUUGGAAUGAAAAGAAAUAUUGAAUU